UUAUGGCUUCUCUUUGGCAUAUCUGAAUUGCCACCAUCACUACUCUCGAUAAUUGAGAACAUUAUUGAGCAAAACAAGGAUUACUUGAACACAAGCCCUGCAAUACUUCCACAGUGAAUCUGAUAACCAAGAUGGCUACUAAGGGACUAAUGGGUGAGGACUUGUAGACAGCGUGGCGACGCUGGACAAAGGAAUGAUGCAUGACCCAGGUUUUCUCGGAGCACUUCGAAGCUGUAUAUGAAAGCUGAAUUGGCACGUCUAAAGGAUCCCAGUGUGAGUGAGCCAGCAUGUCUGGUGGGGUUACCGACUGGUUCCCCAAGUUUCUGGGAUGGGCUUUGGCAAUCUGGGACCCUGGAAUAAUUAGUUUAUCUGCAUCUCAUUAUUGGGCCACAAGUAAAAGCAGCCCACCCCUCAAUUUGGUCGGGAACACUGCUACACUGGCAA